AUGUAUUUGGCGAGUGCCACGAGGCCUGACAUCUCUUUUGCUGUGAGCAAGCUGAGUCGGUUUGUGUCAAAACCGGGAAAUGAUCAUUGGCGUGCGCUUGAGAGAGUUAUACGCUACUUGGAAGGCACGACGAGCUAUGGGAUUCCCUACACCGGGUAUCCAAGGGUACUGGAGGGUUAUAGUGACUCGAACUGGAUAUCUGAUGCUGAUGAGAUUAAGACCACAAAUGGUUAUGUUUUUACACUUGGUGGUGGCGCUGUUUCCUGGAAGUCUUGCAAGCAGACCAUCUUAACAAGGUCAACUAUGGAAGCAGAACUCACAACAUUAGAUACUGCCACUGUUGAAGCAGAGUGGCUUCGUGAGCUAUUGAUGGACUUACCUAUGGUUGAAAACCUAUCCUGA
rnacentral:rRNA from 1 species